rnacentral:rRNA from 1 species
GACGAACGCUGGCGGCGUGCUUAACACAUGCAAGUCGAACGAAGAGCGAUGGAAGCUUGCUUCUAUCAAUCUUAGUGGCGAACGGGUGAGUAACGCGUAAUCAACCUGCCCUACAGAGGGGGACAACAGUUGGAAACGACUGCUAAUACCGCAUACGAUCCAAUCUCGGCAUCGGGACUGGAUGAAAGGUGGCCUCUAUUUAUAAGCUAUCACUGAAGGAGGGGAUUGCGUCUGAUUAGCUAGUUGGAGGGGUAACGGCCCACCAAGGCGAUGAUCAGUAGCCGGUCUGAGAGGAUGAACGGCCACAUUGGGACUGAGACACGGCCCAGACUCCUACGGGAGGCAGCAGUGGGGAAUCUUCCGCAAUGGACGAAAGUCUGACGGAGCAACGCCGCGGGAGUGAUGACGGCCUUCGGGUUGUAAAGCUCUGUUAAUCGGGACGAAUGGUUCUUGUGCGAAUAGUGCGAGGAUUUGACGGUACCGGAAUAGAAAGCCACGGCUAACUACGUG